AACUUUCAACAACGGAUCUCUUGGCUUUCGCAUCGAUGAAGAACGCAGCGAAAGUGCGAAACGUAAUGUGAAUUGCAGAUUCAGUGAAUCAUCGAAUUUUUGAACGCAUCUUGCGCUUCCCAGGCCACACCCGGGAAGCAUGCCUGUUUGAGGGUCUCGA
rnacentral:rRNA from 1 species